rnacentral:rRNA from 14 species
ACUAGUACCGUGAGGGAAAGGUGAAAAGCACCCCGACGAGGGGAGUGAAAUAGACCCUGAAACCGAAUGCCUACAAUCAGUCGGAGCCCGCAAGGGUGACGGCGUACCUUUUGCAUAAUGGGUCAGCGAGUUGGUCUUACGAGCAAGCUUAAGCCGAUGAGGUGUAGGCGCAGCGAAAGCGAGUCUGAACAGGGCGUUCAGUUCGUGGGAUCAGACCCGAAACCGGGUGAUCUAGCCAUGGGCAGGCUGAAGGUGGGGUAACACCCACUGGAGGGCCGAACCCACGUUCGUUGAAAAGAACGGGGAUGACCUGUGGUUAGGGGUGAAAGGCCAAUCAAACCCGGAGAUAGCUGGUUCUCCGCGAAAACUAUUUAGGUAGUGCGUCAGAUGGUGGCUCUCGGGGGUAGAGCACUGGAUGGGCUAGGGGGGCGCGAGCCUUACCAAACCUAACCAAACUCCGAAUACCGAAGAGUAGAGCGAGGCAGACACACUGCGGGUGCUAAGGUCCGUAGUGGAGAGGGAAACAGCCCUGACCGCCAGCUAAGGUCCCUAAGUUAUCACUAAGUGGGAAACGAUGUGGGAAUGCUUAGACAACCAGGAGGUUGGCUUAGAAGCAGCCAUCCUUUAAAGAAAGCGUAACAGCUCACUGGUCAAGCGUUCCUGCGCGGAAAAUGUAACGGGGCUUAAGUGAUACACCGAAGCUGCGGACUCGAAAGAGUGGUAGCGGAGCGUUCUGUAAGUCUGUGAAGGUGGCCUGCGAGGGCUGCUGGAGAUAUCAGAAGUGAGAAUGCUGACAUGAGUAGCGAUAAAGAGGGUGAGAGGCCCUCUCGCCGAAAGUCCAAGGGUUCCUGCGCAAUGCUAAUCAGCGCAGGGUAAGCCGGCCCCUAAGGCGAGGCCGAAAGGCGUAGUCGAUGGGAACCAGGUUAAUAUUCCUGGGCCAGCGGGUAGUGACGGAUUGCGGACGUUGUACACUCUUACUGGAUUGAGUGUGCAGCCAAGCCGUCCCUGGAAAUAGCUCCCGCAUGAGACCGUACCCCAAACCGACACAGGU